GUGCUUGCUUUGGCAGCACAUAUGCUAAAAUUGGAACGAUACACAGAAGAUUGGCAUGGCCCCUGCGCAAGAACGACACGCAAAUUCAUGAAGCGUUCCAUAUUUUU
ensembl:snRNA U6 U6 spliceosomal RNA